UACGUAGGGGGCGAGCGUUGUCCGGAAUCAUUGGGCGUAAAGAGCGCGUAGGCGGCCCGGUAAGUCCGCUGUGAAAGUCAAAGGCUCAACCUUUGAAUGUCAGCGGAUACUGCCGGGCUAGAGUCCGGAAGAGGCGAGUGGAACUCCUGGUGUAGCGGUGGAAUGCGCAGAUAUCAGGAAGAACACCAACGGCGAAGGCAGCUCGCUGGGACGGAACUGACGCUGAGGCGCGAAAGCGUGGGGAGCGAACAGG
rnacentral:rRNA from 1 species